GUUUGGAUUUAGUUUAGGUUCAAAAUUGGAUUUAGUUUAGGUUCAAAAGAGCACGCACAGAUCCUGAGUGUUGUCAAGCACCUGUGACUGGGAAACGGAGGCGUCCGAUCCGUAUUGGAGUCAAUUCGCCACUUAAUUGAACACAGCCUCGAAGGGAAGGGCCAUAUUUGUGGGCCUGUCUAACAAUUAAGAGUGACCACAUGGAAUGGGGGAUGAAAGGGUUAAAGAAGAACAAAUAUUGAACACAGCUUUUCUAUGAACAAACUGCAGGCAGCUGCUGCUUUGCAAGAAAAACCCUUUGAAAAGAUUCAGCACGUUGCCAUGGAGAACAUCCCACUGAAGGAAUGUAUAGAAGUAGCAGGGUUAACUGAGUGCCUUCCAUCUUCCCUCCAAGGGAUCUGCAAUGAGAUGGGAGAAGGCAACAGGCUGUGUGGGAACCACUGAAGCUGGGAUGGCAGGGAAAGAACAUCUUAGGCUAACUCUUCAAGCCUUGCUGUCACAUUUGCUUUUGAGUCUAUGGUGUCAGCUGCCUACCAGUUGCUUUCAUCUCUAGAAAUCUGUGACUUGCAGUAUGACAAGAACAAAAGGUGACAAUACAAAGGACAAAGGGCAAGGAAUACAGACGGAGAAGCCGCUUAGAGUCUAGGAUGGCAGAGGUUCUCUUGAUCAUUUCAUUUUUGAGCGCUUGUAGAGCUUUGGUGUACCAGAGGUGCUUGAACAGCUUACCACACCACAGAUGAAUGGCCUUUGGAUUUCUCCUAAGAAAAUGUGGCUACCUGAAAUUCAACUCCAUUUUCUGGUCUUCAAUAUUUCUUUUGUGUUCAGUUUGCCAGCUGAGGAGAAGUGGCUAAGCAUAGCCUGUUACUGAUGCUAAAGCCCAAGUUCUGAACCUAACAACUCCAGCAACAUGAUCCUGUUUCAAGAGACAAAAAAGUGACUAAUGAAAGAAAACAAUUGAUGUGCUAUGUAGAGUUUAAAAGAAGGUAAAGAGAAUAAAUUAAAAGCAACAACUCUC
ensembl:lincRNA